UACGAAGGGGGCUAGCGUUGCUCGGAAUCACUGGGCGUAAAGCGCACGUAGGCGGCUUCUUAAGUCAGGGGUGAAAUCCUGGAGCUCAACUCCAGAACUGCCUUUGAUACUGAGGAGCUCGAGUCCGGGAGAGGUGAGUGGAACUCCGAGUGUAGAGGUGAAAUUCGUAGAUAUUCGGAAGAACACCAGUGGCGAAGGCGGCUCACUGGUCCGGUACUGACGCUGAGGUGCGAAAGCGUGGGGAGCAAACAGG
rnacentral:rRNA from 1 species